UUGAACGCUGGCGGCAUGCCUUACACAUGCAAGUCGAACGGCAGCGCGGGGGCAACCCUGGCGGCGAGUGGCGAACGGGUGAGUAAUAUAUCGGAACGUGCCCUAGAGUGGGGGAUAACGUAGCGAAAGUUACGCUAAUACCGCAUACGAUCUAUGGAUGAAAGCGGGGGAUCGCAAGACCUCGCGCUCAUGGAGCGGCCGAUAUCUGAUUAGCUAGUUGGUAGGGUAAAAGCCUACCAAGGCAUCGAUCAGUAGCUGGUCUGAGAGGACGACCAGCCACACUGGGACUGAGACACGGCCCAGACUCCUACGGGAGGCAGCAGUGGGGAAUUUUGGACAAUGGGGGCAACCCUGAUCCAGCAAUGCCGCGUGAGUGAAGAAGGCCUUCGGGUUGUAAAGCUCUUUUGUCAGGGAAGAAACGGUUUGGUCUAAUACACUGAGCUAAUGACGGUACCUGAAGAAUAAGCACCGGCUAACUACGU
rnacentral:rRNA from 1 species